rnacentral:sRNA from 1 species
GGGGACAGCAGAGCCUGCUGGUCUCCAGAGGACGUGUCUCUCCCUGGCUGGUUCUCCCCUGCUGUAUCGCAGCAAGGGCUGAGCUGACCUGGGAUUGGGGUCUUCUAUGUUGGGGCCUGUGUGGUUGUCAGAGAGCCUUCCAGCCUCUCCCAGGAGGGAAAACCUGGGAGUAAACCCUGGUUGCCCAGCUCCACCCGACUCCCACGCUAAGGGUCAGACACCCAAACAUGGCUUCUCGGCAGGCUCCCGGCACUGCCCCUCGCUAUGGGCUGGCACCAAUGGGGGCACCAUCUAUGCCUUCUCCCUGCGUGUGCCCCCCGCCGAGCGGAGAAUGGAUGAGCCUGUGCGGGCAGAGCAGGCCAAGGAGAUCCAGCUGAUGCACCGGGCGCCGGUGGUGGGCAUCCUGGUGCUCGACGGACACAGCGUACCCCUUCCCGAGCCCCUCGAAGUGGCCCAUGAUCUGUCGAAGAGCCCUGACAUGCAGGGAAGCCACCAGCUGCUCGUCGUAUCAGAGGAGCAGUUCAAGGUGUUCACGCUGCCCAAGGUGAGUGCCAAGCUGAAGUUGAAGCUGACGGCCCUGGAGGGCUCAAGAGUGCGUCGGGUCAGCGUGGCCCACUUCGGCAGUCGUCGAGCCGAGGACUACGGGGAGCACCACCUGGCAGUCCUUACCAACCUGGGCGACAUCCAGGUGGUCUCGCUGCCCCUGCUCAAGCCCCAGGUGCGCUACAGCUGCAUCCGCCGGGAGGACGUCAGUGGCAUCGCCUCC